rnacentral:rRNA from 1 species
GGGGAAUUUUCCGCAAUGGGCGAAAGCCUGGCGGAGCAAUUCCGCGGGAGGGAAGAAAGCCUUCUGGGUUGUAAACCUCUUUUUUCAGGGAGGAAAAAAAUGACGUGUACCUGAAGAAUAAGCAUCGGCUAACUCCGUGCCAGCAGCCGCGGUAAGACGGAGGAUGCAAGUGUUAUCCGGAAUUACUGGGCGUAAAGCGUCUGUAGGUUGUUUAAUAAGUCAACUGUUAAAUCUUGAGGCUUAACUUCAAAACAGCAGUCGAAACUAUUAGACUAGAGUAUAGUAGGGGUAAAGGGAAUUUCCAGUGGAGCGGUGAAAUGCGUAGAUAUUGGAAAGAACACCGAUGGCGAAAGCACUUUACUGGGCUAUUACUGACACUCAGAGACGAA